ensembl:lncRNA
CGCAGACAGUGACACACGCAGGCAUGUCACAUCAAAAAUCAGGGCAUCAAAAACGCAAAGAGAGAAAGGAAAGAAGACAGAGAACGUCGAAAUCGACAGUAUGUCACGUAGUUUUUCAAAAAGAAAGACACAGAUUCAGCGGCUGCUGCAGCACACCCACGUCCUCCUUCCCCCAAGUCCCCCGUCUCAGCCGAACAAGGUCGCUGUGACUGGCGGAUCGGUCGUCAGUGGGGCGGAGGACGAGGGCCAAUCAGGAGACGGAGACGCUGCUUAAGAGGGACGGCGGGCUCAUUCUCUGGGACCCCUCUCUCAGUAUUGCUGACGCUCAGGGCCGCCGAUUGUGGGCUGCUCUCCGGCACCCAGAUUGUUGUGCAUUUCAGACUGUUUUGGAUAAGUGUUUUCGUGUCGUGCCGAUGUUGUCAAUGCAGUCCUCCAUCCGCGGCAAUGGAAAACAAUCCGGUACCUUCACGCACCACAGUAUUAGAGCAUGAUAUUAACGUGGGGGAUGCUGUUCCGGUCAAGCAACAUGCGUACCGCAUGAACUCAGUGAAGAGAGAGCGUAUGCGGGGAGAGGUUGAGUAUUUGGUGGAGCAUGGAUUGGCUCAAGCCAGCUGCAGCCCCUGGAGCUCUCCAUGCCUCCUGAUACCGAAGAGUGACGGCACUGAUCGGUUUUGUACGGACUAUCGUAAGGUUAAUGCGCUCACGGUACCGGAUUGUUUUCCAUUGCCGCGGAUGGAGGACUGCAUUGACAACAUCGGCUCGGCCCGUUAUGUCAGUAAAUUGGAUCUACUAAAAGGGUACUGGCAGGUGCCGCUUACGUCUCGCGCUUCUGACAUCUCCGCUUUCGUGACACCGCAUAGUUUCCUGCAAUAUUCUGUGAUGGCGUUCGGCAUGCGUAACGCACCGGCUACUUUCCAGCGACUCGUUAAUCGUGUGUUGUCGGGGGUGCCUAAGUGUAACGCGUAUCUGGAUGAUCUAGUAGUGUACUCGUCCGACUGGCCCG